rnacentral:rRNA from 1 species
UACGAAGGGGGGCUAGCGUUGCUCGGAAUUACUGGGCGUAAAGCGCACGUAGGCGGUCUUUUUAAGUCGGGGGUGAAAUCCUGGAGCUCAACUCCAGAACUGCCUUCGAUACUGGAAGACUUGAGUCCGGGAGAGGUGAGUGGAACUGCGAGUGUAGAGGUGAAAUUCGUAGAUAUUCGCAAGAACACCAGUGGCGAAGGCGGCUCACUGGCCCGGUACUGACGCUGAGGUGCGAAAGCGUGGGGAGCAAACAGG